ACACCCUGCUCACCUGUGAUGGUUAAUAUUGAGUGUCAAUUUAAAUGGAUUGAAGGAUGCAAAGUAUUGUUCCUGGGUGUGUCUGUGAGGGUGUUGCCAAAGAUGAUUAACAUUUGAGUCAGUGGGCUGGGAGAGAGAGACCCACCCUCAAUCUGGUGGGCACCACCUAAUCAGCUGUCAGCAUGGCUAGAAUAAAGCAGGCAGAAGAAGGUAGAAAGAGCAGACUUGCUGAGUCUUCCAGCCUUCAUCUUCCACUCAUGCUGGAUGUUUCCUGCCCUCGAACAUCAGUCUCCAAUUUCUUCAGUUUUGGACUCUUGGACUUACACCAGUGAUUUGCCAGGGGCUAUCGAACCUUUAGCCACAGAAUGAAGGCAUUGUCGGCUUCCCUACUUUUGAGGUUUGGGGACUCAGUCUGGCUUCCUUGCUCCUCAGCUUGCAGAUGGCCUAUUGUGGGACUUCACUUGUGAUCAUAUGCAGGAAAUAGAGAAUUCUUCUCAACAGGAAAAGCUGCCUUUUGGAAGCAAGAUUUCCUCUGUCUGACCAGAAGAAUAGCCCCGCAAGAUAUCCAGGAAUCUGGAUUUAGAAGUAAGAGAUUCUCGCUCAAUCUGUCUGCUCUCUUGAAUAGAGGACACGUAAACGCUGGAACUGCUGGCAGUGGCUAUUUUCGACCAUUUGGACAAGGAAAUAGAGAAAGCCAGCCUGAAGCAAGAGACAAGAAUGGGGAGCAUGUGCCAGAGAAAAAGAGAUGAAAGACAGAGCAAGAAGUCUUCCUGUUCUCCCCACAGCCCUCCAGGACCUGAUUUCAGCCUAUACCAUCUUACCCCUCCCCUUCAAACCCAUGAGAGACUCCCCGGUGUCUUUUCAAUAGCUCCCAUUUUGCUUCAGCUAGUUCAAGUGGAGUCUUGUGACUAGAAACCAAACAAACCAUCACUAAUACUCCACAUCUUUCCAUUUUACAUAGUCUCAAAUGGCAUAGAACCAGCUUGCCAAAUUCUUUAAGCCAAAAUCCUUGAAAGGAGAAUCCAAUUCCAGCCUCUCAAAGCAGAUAAAUGAAAAUCAGUGAAAAAAUGCUUAUCCUGAAAUGUUAGGUGGGAAAAAAAGCAGGACAAAAAAUUGUAUUGUAACUACACUACAGUUUAUAUUUCUCAAUAAAUCAAGAAAUGAAGUCCUGUAUGCCUUAGGAAAACUGGAAAGGAAUUAACCAAAAUAACAGUACUUGUGUUAGGGUAACAAGAUUAUUUCCCUUCUUCUUUAUAUUUCUCUGUGUCUUGAAGUAGUUAAAUGCUUUAUAAUUUUUAAAAAAAAAUUAUAACUCCAAAGACUAUGUAGAAACAUGUAAAUACGUUUGUAACAUAAUGAUAUAUUUUUAAAAAAAGAACAUAAAAUAGGCUGUCUGUUACAUUUGUGGCUACAUACAUAGCUAAAAAAAGAACUGUCUUUUUAACACUCCAUGUAUGAAAGGAACAAUGCUACUUCCAAUGGACAUUCCCGAAUUAACCCUCAGCCUUCAUUUCCUCCCCACCUGUUUGCCCUCACUAUCCCAUCUUCACCCCAUCCUACCCAAGCUAUCCAUCUUCAGCUGAGAUUCCACCUUUCCCUGCUACCUCUCUCCCAACUUCACCCUAUUUUGGUGCCUGAGUACCUGCAUGCAUCUGCAGACAUGUAGACCCAUUCUGCCACUCACUGGCUGUCGAUUUGCCUCAUCUCUUUUAGUUCAGUCCAUUUGGAAUCACCUCAUCACAGAUGGCUUCCAGCCCAUUUUAAAUAAGCUAUGCCAAGAGGCAAUCCAGGUAGAACCGUCCCUUUCUGUUUUAGCACUAGACAAGCCAGAAAUUGGUAAAGAGUAGAAAGUAACAACCAAAAAUAAAAACCAUUGUGAACUUGGACAAUUUAUACUUGUGUUUAAAUUGCUGUAGCAUAAUUUUUAAUAACAACAAUUUAAAAUACAAUUAUGGGUAUGACCAAAAAAUAAAUGGUAAGCCAUUUACUUACAAGCAAAAAGUGAGCAUGGUUCUUUGAAGUCAUAAAACUGAUUCUAUUCAUUUCCUCAUAAUUAUAACAGCUUCCAUACAUUGAACUGGAUGUUGUUCCAGACACUCAAUAAAC
rnacentral:lncRNA from 1 species